rnacentral:rRNA from 1 species
UACGGGGGGGGUAAGCGUUGUUCGGAAUUACUGGGCGUAAAGCGCACGUAGGCGGAUUUGUAAGUCAGGGGUGAAAUCCCGGGGCUCAACCUCGGAACUGCCUUUGAUACUGCAAAUCUCGAGUCCGGAAGAGGUGAGUGGAAUUCCUAGUGUAGAGGUGAAAUUCGUAGAUAUUAGGAAGAACACCAGUGGCGAAGGCGGCCAACUGGACAGAUACUGACGCUGAGACACGAAAGCGUGGGGAGCAAACAGG